rnacentral:rRNA from 1 species
UUUUGGACAAUGGGGGCAACCCUGAUCCAGCCAUUCCGCGUGAGUGAAGAAGGCCUUCGGGUUGUAAAGCUCUUUCGCAAGGGAAGAAAACUUAUGGUCGAAUAAAUCAUGAGGUUGACGGUACCUUGAUAAGAAGCACCGGCUAACUACGUGCCAGCAGCCGCGGUAAUACGUAGGGUGCGAGCGUUAAUCGGAAUUACUGGGCGUAAAGCGUGCGCAGGCGGUUUUGUAAGUCGGAUGUGAAAUCCCCGGGCUCAACCUGGAACUGCGUUCGAACUGCAAGGCUAGAGUGUGUCAAGGGGGGAGAUUCCACGUGAGCAGUAAAUGCGAGAAAUGUGAGAAUCCAAUGGCGAGGAGCCCCCUGGGAAACUGCGUAUGCAA